rnacentral:rRNA from 1 species
GGGUUGUGAGGUUAAGCGACUAAGCGUACACGGUGGAUGCCCUGGCAGUCAGAGGCGAUGAAGGACGUGCUAAUCUGCGAUAAGCGUCGGUAAGGUGAUAUGAACCGUUAUAACCGGCGAUUUCCGAAUGGGGAAACCCAGUGUGAUUCGUCACACUAUCAUUAACUGAAUCCAUAGGUUAAUGAGGCGAACCGGGGGAACUGAAACAUCUAAGUACCCCGAGGAAAAGAAAUCAACCGAGAUUCCCCCAGUAGCGGCGAGCGAACGGGGAGCAGCCCAGAGCCUGAAUCAGUGUGUGUGUUAGUGGAAGCGUCUGGAAAGGCGCGCGAUACAGGGUGACAGCCCCGUACACAAAAAUGCACAUGCUGUGAGCUCGAUGAGUAGGGCGGGACACGUGGUAUCCUGUCUGAAUAUGGGGGGACCAUCCUCCAAGGCUAAAUACUCCUGACUGACCGAUAGUGAACCAGUACCGUGAGGGAAAGGCGAAAAGAACCCCGGCGAGGGGAGUGAAAAAGAACCUGAAACCGUGUACGUACAAGCAGUGGGAGCACGCUUAGGCGUGUGACUGCGUACCUUUUGUAUAAUGGGUCAGCGACUUAUAUUCUGUAGCAAGGUUAACCGAAUAGGGGAGCCGAAGGGAAACCGAGUCUUAACUGGGCGUUAAGUUGCAGGGUAUAGACCCGAAACCCGGUGAUCUAGCCAUGGGCAGGUUGAAGGUUGGGUAACACUAACUGGAGGACCGAACCGACUAAUGUUGAAAAAUUAGCGGAUGACUUGUGGCUGGGGGUGAAAGGCCAAUCAAACCGGGAGAUAGCUGGUUCUCCCCGAAAGCUAUUUAGGUAGCGCCUCGUGAAUUCAUCUCCGGGGGUAGAGCACUGUUUCGGCAAGGGGGUCAUCCCGACUUACCAACCCGAUGCAAACUGCGAAUACCGGAGAAUGUUAUCACGGGAGACACACGGCGGGUGCUAACGUCCGUCGUGAAGAGGGAAACAACCCAGACCGCCAGCUAAGGUCCCAAAGUCAUGGUUAAGUGGGAAACGAUGUGGGAAGGCCCAGACAGCCAGGAUGUUGGCUUAGAAGCAGCCAUCAUUUAAAGAAAGCGUAAUAGCUCACUGGUCGAGUCGGCCUGCGCGGAAGAUGUAACGGGGCUAAACCAUGCACCGAAGCUGCGGCAGCGACGCUGAUGCGUUGUUGGGUAGGGGAGCGUUCUGUAAGCCUGCGAAGGUGUGCUGUGAGGCAUGCUGGAGGUAUCAGAAGUGCGAAUGCUGACAUAAGUAACGAUAAAGCGGGUGAAAAGCCCGCUCGCCGGAAGACCAAGGGUUCCUGUCCAACGUUAAUCGGGGCAGGGUGAGUCGACCCCUAAGGCGAGGCCGAAAGGCGUAGUCGAUGGGAAACAGGUUAAUAUUCCUGUACUUGGUGUUACUGCGAAGGGGGGACGGAGAAGGCUAUGUUGGCCGGGCGACGGUUGUCCCGGUUUAAGCGUGUAGGCUGGUUUUCCAGGCAAAUCCGGAAAAUCAAGGCUGAGGCGUGAUGACGAGGCACUACGGUGCUGAAGCAACAAAUGCCCUGCUUCCAGGAAAAGCCUCUAAGCAUCAGGUAACAUCAAAUCGUACCCCAAACCGACACAGGUGGUCAGGUAGAGAAUACCAAGGCGCUUGAGAGAACUCGGGUGAAGGAACUAGGCAAAAUGGUGCCGUAACUUCGGGAGAAGGCACGCUGAUAUGUAGGUGAAGUCCCUCGCGGAUGGAGCUGAAAUCAGUCGAAGAUACCAGCUGGCUGCAACUGUUUAUUAAAAACACAGCACUGUGCAAACACGAAAGUGGACGUAUACGGUGUGACGCCUGCCCGGUGCCGGAAGGUUAAUUGAUGGGGUCAGCGCAAGCGAAGCUCUUGAUCGAAGCCCCGGUAAACGGCGGCCGUAACUAUAACGGUCCUAAGGUAGCGAAAUUCCUUGUCGGGUAAGUUCCGACCUGCACGAAUGGCGUAAUGAUGGCCAGGCUGUCUCCACCCGAGACUCAGUGAAAUUGAACUCGCUGUGAAGAUGCAGUGUACCCGCGGCAAGACGGAAAGACCCCGUGAACCUUUACUAUAGCUUGACACUGAACAUUGAGCCUUGAUGUGUAGGAUAGGUGGGAGGCUUUGAAGUGUGGACGCCAGUCUGCAUGGAGCCGACCUUGAAAUACCACCCUUUAAUGUUUGAUGUUCUAACGUGGACCCGUGAUCCGGGUUGCGGACAGUGUCUGGUGGGUAGUUUGACUGGGGCGGUCUCCUCCUAAAGAGUAACGGAGGAGCACGAAGGUUGGCUAAUCCUGGUCGGACAUCAGGAGGUUAGUGCAAUGGCAUAAGCCAGCUUGACUGCGAGCGUGACGGCGCGAGCAGGUGCGAAAGCAGGUCAUAGUGAUCCGGUGGUUCUGAAUGGAAGGGCCAUCGCUCAACGGAUAAAAGGUACUCCGGGGAUAACAGGCUGAUACCGCCCAAGAGUUCAUAUCGACGGCGGUGUUUGGCACCUCGAUGUCGGCUCAUCACAUCCUGGGGCUGAAGUAGGUCCCAAGGGUAUGGCUGUUCGCCAUUUAAAGUGGUACGCGAGCUGGGUUUAGAACGUCGUGAGACAGUUCGGUCCCUAUCUGCCGUGGGCGCUGGAGAACUGAGGGGGGCUGCUCCUAGUACGAGAGGACCGGAGUGGACGCAUCACUGGUGUUCGGGUUGUCAUGCCAAUGGCACUGCCCGGUAGCUAAAUGCGGAAGAGAUAAGUGCUGAAAGCAUCUAAGCACGAAACUUGCCCCGAGAUGAGUUCUCCCUGACUCCUUGAGAGUCCUGAAGGAACGUUGAAGACGACGACGUUGAUAGGCCGGGUGUGUAAGCGCAGCGAUGCGUUGAGCUAACCGGUACCAAUGAAC